UAGUUGUAUGAUAACUUCAGUGGUGAAGGCUAGCUUGAAAGGAGUUUCUCUUGUUGGAAGUCAUUGAGUCGUUCGAUAUGCCUAGAGCACAUGGUAUAUCUUUUCGACCCACAAUCAUUUUGCCUAGCCGAGCUUAGCUUUCAAUCCUUGCAACAAGGUCCUGUUCGGCACCUCAGCUUCAUUAUUGCUCUGAGGAUGAGAUACCGAGGUCAGCCUAUGGUUGAUGCCCAACCCAUUGCAGAACUCUUUGAAUUUCGGGUUGUCAAACUAUCAUCCGUUGUCAGUGAUAAUUGCUCAUGGCAAUCCGAAUCGAUAGAUGAUCAAUUUUCACAUGAAGUCAUAUACC
rnacentral:lncRNA from 1 species